CUUCGGGAACAUGAGACAGGUGCUGCAUGUCUGUCGUCAGCUCGUGUCGUGAGAUGUUGGGUUAAGUCCCGGUAACGAGCGCAACCCUUUGUCCUUAGUUACCAGCACGUUAUGGUGGGCACUCUAAGGAGACUGCCGGUGACAAACCGGAGGAAGGUGGGGAUGACGUCAAGUCAUCAUGGCCCUUACGGCCUGGGCUACACACGUGCUACAAUGGUCGGUACAGAGGGUUGCCAAGCCGCGAGGUGGAGCUAAUCCCACAAAACCGAUCGUAGUCCGGAUCGCAGUCUGCAACUCGACUGCGUGAAGUCGGAAUCGCUAGUAAUCGCGAAUCAGAAUGUCGCGGUGAAUACGUUCCCGGGUC
rnacentral:rRNA from 1 species